UUUGCUCAGACCAGGAGAGCAGGUGCUGCUUUAGACCUGAUGUGGUCCCUCUGUUUGCUCAGACCAGGAGAGCAGAUGGAAACACCAGAGCUACCAUGAGCUUCUCUGAACAGUCCCUCCAGGCUGAAAGGGUAUUGAUCAUUUUCUAAUCAUAAAUCUAUCGAUUAGAUUUAUGAUAGACUUUUGAAACUAGAGGGAAAUAAGGAGGACUUUCACAAAGUAGAGACUGUUGUCAGAAGGAGAGCUUCGUCUUCAAGGUGAGACCCCCAUGAGCAUGGGGUCUCACUAAGAGAGAACAAUCCAACAUUUAGAUUGAGUAUCCUUUUGUUGAACCGUCUGUUUCAAAUGAAUCCAAGCAUCAGAAUAAAAAAGCUUUUGAAAACAACAGAAUAUUAGUUUUUAUGUGAAAAUAUAAUAAAACCUGAAGAGUCGGAGCCUCACCUUUUGUACAACUUGUUAUCAGCUAAAGGGUAACUGGACCUCUUCAUGUAAAUGUCUCGAAGUGGGAGGAGUUACCAAGUGGGAGGAGUUACCAAGUGGGAGGAGUUACCAAGUGGGAGGAGUUACCACGUGGGAGGAGUUACAACGUGGGAGGAGUUACCAAGUGGGAGGAGUUACCUGCGGGUCCUCCAGCGUGCGCAGGUUCAGCAGGUGAAGGUCACACGGCAGAGAGGAGCGCAGCG